rnacentral:rRNA from 1 species
UAGGGAAUCUUCGGCAAUGGGGGGAACCCUGACCGAGCAACGCCGCGUGAUUUAGAAGGCCUUCGGGUUGUAAAAAUCUUUUGUAUAGGAAGAAAAUGACAGUACUAUACGAAUAAGGACCGGCUAAUUACGUGCCAGCAGCCGCGGUAAUACGUAAGGUCCGAGCGUUGUCCGGAAUCAUUGGGCGUAAAGGGUACGUAGGCGGGUAAGCAAGUUAGAAGUGAAAUCCUGUAGCUCAACUACAGUAAGCUUUUAAAACUGCUCAUCUUGAGAUAUGGAAGGGAAAGUGGAAUUCCUAGUGUAGCGGUGAAAUGCGCAGAUAUUAGGAGGAAUACCGGUGGCGAAGGCGACUUUCUGGCCAUAACCUGACGCUGAGGUACGAAAGCGUGGGUAGCAAACAGG